rnacentral:rRNA from 1 species
GAUGAACGCUGGCGGCGUGCCUAAUACAUGCCAGUCGAGCGAACAGACGAGGAGCUUGCUCCUCUGACGUUAGCGGCGGACGGGUGAGUAACACGUGGAUAACCUACCUAUAAGACUGGGAUAACUUCGGGAAACCGGAGCUAAUACCGGAUAAUAUGUUGAACCGCAUGGUUCAACAGUGAAAGACGGUUUUGCUGUCACUUAUAGAUGGAUCCGCGUCGCAUUAGCUAGUUGGUAAGGUAACGGCUUACCAAGGCAACGAUGCGUAGCCGACCUGAGAGGGUGAUCGGCCACACUGGAACUGAGACACGGUCCAGACUCCUACGGGAGGCAGCAGUAGGGAAUCUUCCGCAAUGGGCGAAAGCCUGACGGAGCAACGCCGCGUGAGUGAAGAAGGUCUUCGGAUCGUAAAACUCUGUUAUUAGGGAAGAACAAAUGUGUAAGUAACUAUGCACGUCUUGACGGUACCUAAUCAGAAAGCCACGGCUAACUACGUG